rnacentral:lncRNA from 1 species
AUUCAUGGAGAAAGAAUUUUGACUCCGGCCUGUCACUCGGCCUCCAGUUCCACCCUCAUCCUGUUACUCUCAGAUGCUCUCCUGCCUUUCCACACAUCUGCUUUCCAGUCUCCUGUAAUCUCCACCUGGCACCUGACACCUUUUGAAAUCAAUUCACUCAAGAUUCUACCCACAAGAGUUGAUCAUCCGGUUCUUCCAGAUGGAAACCAGCUUGCCCAGAGACUCUAUCAGGAUGGGAGAUCGCAUAUUCCCGAGCCCGGUUACUCAUUUAACACAGCUUCGCAAGAGCUGGAAUCCUUCUGGUUGUGUCCAUUUCUUUGUCCAGAGCAACGCAUGAAUGAUUAUCCGGAUGUUUCAGGGGAGAGUGGAACUGGGGCAAUGAGGACGAAUCAAGAUGUCACCACACAUCUGAAAACUGGCCUCCAGCCUUCUGUGGGAUUUUCUCAACAGGUUAGUUGUGAUUUUUGCCCUACGUUCAAGCUGGUCUAGCUCUCCUUCCCUCCUUCACACCUCUGCGAACUCUACUCUUCAAAUGGAAAUUUAGCCAAUACUAAUCUCUGCUUCAUUGUCUACAGUACAUCUUCUCUUUUAUUUUUCUUUUUGUGAGUUUUUAUUGAAAUUCCAGUUAAGUGUAAUAUUAGUUUCAGGUGUACAAUAUAGUGACUCAACACUUGGAUACAUCACCUGGUGCUCAUCAUAGGUGCCCCCCUUCAUCCCCAUCACCUAGUUCACCCACCCACCCCCCAAUCCUCUCCCCUCUGGUGACCCUCAGUUUGUUCUCUAGAGUUGAGAGUCUGCUUCUAGGUUCAACUCUAUUUUUUUUUUUUUGACCUUUGCUCAUUUAUUUCUUAACUUUGACACAUGAGUGAAAUCACAUGGUAUUUGACUUUCUCUAACUGGCUUACCCCACUUAGCAUUCUACCCUCUAGGUAUAUCUGUGUCAUUGCAAAUGGCAAGAUUUCAUUCCUUUUUUAAAAUUUCUGAGCAAUAUCCCAUUGCACAUAUAUACUAAAUACUCUUUUCUUUUUUUUUUCCCCAUAUGUAGGGUCAAUAGAGCUUUUUUCUUUUUGUAUCUUUACCAAGUGGUAAAUGUGCUAAUGCGUGGCAGGAGAGGCAGAGAAAUAAUCUGUAUACUACUGCUUUAAAACAAUCCACAUAAAGGUUGACUUGAUGGGAUGGUUAUUUGCAUCUCUUACCUUGCCAACUUACAAGGAUUGCUUUAAUUUUAAAAUCUCACUUUAAAUAUGUACAUGAGCGUGCGUCUGACCUCUUCAGUCAGAGAGUAAAGACACGGUUUUAUUUUUCCUUGGCACUGAGCUCUGGGCUAAAUUGCACACUCAUAUUGAACACGUAGAAGUAUCAGAGAGGAUGCAUGUGUUGUUUUACAUAUAUAUAUAUAUAUAUUUCUCCCCUCUCUUAAUUUCUCUUAACGCUUUUGAAUGGUGAGGAUCCAAGUUCAUUUUUGCAUGAAAUAUAUAUUUUUAACAAGUUUGUUUUUUUUAACAAGUUGAAAUUUUCUAACAUGCUGUAACCAUCUGUCAUUCAGUAAGUCUAAAAAUCAGAUGUAUCAAAACAUGUUGUUUUUGAAGAAAAUGGAAUAAUUCAUCUUUAAGACCUUUCUACCCCCUUAGGGAUUUAGGGUCAUUUUUGCUUCGAAGCAACACUGACCCCCUGUGGCCAGGAGAUUCUUAGGAAAAAAAAUUUGUUUUUCUUUUUACUAAGUUUUCCUUGUAGUAAUUUCUCUCUCAUGGUAGCGUUUGUGUGCAGUCCACACAAUUUAUUUUAUUUAUUUUUAAAAAGAUUUUAUUUAUUUAUUCAUGAGAGACAGAGAGAGAGAGAGAGAGAGAGAGAGAAAGGCAAAGACACAGGCAGAAGCAGGCUCCAUGCAGGGAGCCUGACAUAGGAUUUGAUCCUGGGUCUCCAGGAUCAGGCCCUGGGCUGAAGGCGGCGCUAAACCACUGAGCCACCCGGGCUGUUCCACACAAUUUAUUUUAACUCCACAGUGUCGAUACGGUCGAUCAAUAAUUCUCGCUCAUCAAGGCAAUACUUAGGAAAGGGCCUCGUUUGUUGCCACUGUAAGUGCAGAAGGCAGAGUGGUGAGAGUGUGCUCACCCCGAGUUUGUGGUUACUCACAACCUUUGCCUCCCUUUUCUCCUGUUCCUUCCAAUUCUAUAAACGAGUCAGUUUUAUUUAUCUCAGGAAGGUGCUGGAGUCAGAGGAUCCUCAUUUCUUUCUAGCUCAUUGUUCUCACUCCAUCAAUUCACUUUUCAAAAUACCUGUGUCUGAUUCUCCUUAUUUCCAUUCUCACCACGUUUGUCGUCAGCUUCCCUUAACGAUGACAGGAGCUCUCUGGGCACCUGCUCUGAUUUUGCUCCUUUUGUGAAAAAAAAUAAGAUAUGAUUGUCAUACAGCAUUCUAUCAGUUUCAGAUGUACUGCAUAAUGAUUCGAUAUCUGUACAUCCUGUAAAGUGAUCACCGCAAUAAGUCCAGUUAACAUCCUCAUCAUCCAUAGUUCCGGAACUUUCUUCUUGUGAUGAGAACUGGUAAGAUCUACUCUCUGGGGGCACCUGGGUGGCUCAGUUGGUUAAGUGUCUGCCUUCAGCCCGGAUUGUGAUCCUGGAGUCCUAGGAUCAAGCCUCACAUCAGGAUCCCUGCUCCGUGGGGAGCCUGCUUCUUCGUCUCCCUUUGCCUAUUUGUGUUCUCUCUCUGUCAAAUAAAUAAAAAUAUUUUUUUUAAAAAAUCUACUCUCUUAGCAAUUUUCAGAUAUACAGUAUAGUAUCACCAACUCUAGUCACCAUGCUGCUUACUACAUCCCAUGACUAAUUUUAUACCUGCACAUUUGGAGCUCUUGAACCCUUUCUGCCUCCGCCUCCCCUCUCUCCACCGUCUGUUCUCCUCAGCCUCCUUUGCUCCCCCUUCUGGUGCCCCCUCCAGUCCCUGCAAACCUGUGCCAGUUGCUGAAGACCUGCUGUCCCUCCAGGAUCUGUGAUCAGAUAAGCCAGACGCCCAGAGUUUAAAACUGUCUAUGACAAUUUGACAGAGUAAUGUUUGAAUCUGAUAUAAAAAAAAGGUGGGUCUUGGGUAAUCAAUG